rnacentral:rRNA from 1 species
GAUGAACGCUAGCUACAGGCUUAACACAUGCAAGUCGAGGGGUAACGAGAGGAAAGCUUGCUUUCCUUGUCGACGACCGGCGCACGGGUGAGUAACGCGUAUCCAACCUGCCCCCAACUAGGGAAUAACCUUGCGAAAGUAAGACUAAUACCCUAUAAUUUCCUCAGGUGCCAUCUGACGAGGAAUAAAGAUUUAUCGGUUGUGGAUGGGGAUGCGUCUGAUUAGCUUGUUGGCGGGGUAACGGCCCACCAAGGCAACGAUCAGUAGGGGUUCUGAGAGGAAGGUCCCCCACAUUGGAACUGAGACACGGUCCAAACUCCUACGGGAGGCAGCAGUGAGGAAUAUUGGUCAAUGGGCGGAAGCCUGUACCAGCCAAGUAGCGUGCAGGAUGACGGCCCUAUGGGUUGUAAACUGCUUUUAUACAGGAAUAAAGUUAGCCACGUGUGGUUAUUUGUAGGUACUGUAUGAAUAAGGACCGGCUAACUCCGUGCCAGCCGCCGCGGUAA